UGUUCGCCCAUUAAAGCGGUACGCGAGCUGGGUUUAGAACGUCGUGAGACAGUUCGGUCCCUAUCCGUCGUGGGCGUAGGAAAUUUGAGAGGAGCUGUCCUUAGUACGAGAGGACCGGGAUGGACGCACCGCUGGUGUACCAGUUGUUCUGCCAAGGGCAUAGCUGGGUAGCUAUGUGCGGAAGGGAUAAGUGCUGAAAGCAUCUAAGCAUGAAGCCCCCCUCAAGAUGAGAUUUCCCAUAGCGUAAGCUAGUAAGAUCCCUGAAAGAUGAUCAGGUUGAUAGGUUCGAGGUGGAAGCAUGGUGACAUGUGGAGCUGACGAAUACUAAUAGAUCGAGGACUUAACCAUAUAA
rnacentral:rRNA from 1 species